rnacentral:rRNA from 1 species
UACAGAGGGGGCGAGCGUUGUUCGGAAUUACUGGGCGUAAAGGGCGCGUAGGCGGCCUUCUAAGUCGAACGUGAAAUCCCCGGGCUCAACCCGGGAACUGCGUCCGAUACUGGAAGGCUUGAAUCCGGGAGAGGGAUGCGGAAUUCCAGGUGUAGCGGUGAAAUGCGCAGAUAUCAGGAGGAACACCGAUGGCGAAGGCAGGUCUCUGGGCCACUACUGACGCUGAGAAGCGAAAGCAUGGGGAGCGAACAGG